rnacentral:rRNA from 1 species
UACGUAGGGUGCGAGCGUUAAUCGGAAUUACUGGGCGUAAAGUGUGCGCAGGCGGCCGCGCAAGUCGAGUGUGAAAGCCCCGGGCUUAACUUGGGAAUUGCGCUCGAAACUACGUGGCUAGAGUGUGGCAGAGGAGACUGGAAUUCCUGGUGUAGCAGUGAAAUGCGUAGAUAUCAGGAGGAAUACCGAUGGCGAAGGCAGGUCUCUGGGCUAGAACUGACGCUCAUGCACGAAAGCGUGGGAGCAACAGGAU